GAUGAAGAACGUAGCGAAAUGCGAUAAGUAAUGUGAAUUGCAGAAUUCCGUGAAUCAUCGAAUCUUUGAACGCACAUUGCGCCCUUUGGUAUUCCAAAGGGCAUGCCUGUUCGAGCGUCAUUUGUACCCUCAAGCUUUGCUUGGUGUUGGGCGUCUUGUCUCCAGUUCGCUGGAGACUCGCCUUAAAGUAAUUGGCAGCCGGCCUACUGGUUUCGGAGCGCAGCACAAGUCGCGCUCUCUUCCAGCCAAGGUCAGCAUCCACAAAGCCUUUUUUCAACUUUUGACCUCGGAUCAGGUAGGGAUACCCGCUGAACUUAAGCAUAUCAAUAAGCGGAGGA
rnacentral:misc_RNA from 1 species